rnacentral:rRNA from 1 species
UACGGAGGUUCCAAGCGUUGUUCGGAAUUACUGGGCGUAAAGGGAGCGCAGGCGGAUAAGUCAGUCUGAAGUGAAAUCCCGGGGCUCAACCUCGGACUUGCUUCGGAUACUGCUUGUCUUGAGUUCGUGAUAGGAAGAUGGAAUUCAGGGUGUAGCGGUGAAAUGCACAGAUAUCCUGAGGAACACCGGUGGCGAAAGCGGUCUUCUGGCGCGAAACUGACGCUGAGGCUCGAAAGCGUGGGUAGCAAACGGG